AGCUCCAAUAGCGUAUAUUAAAGUUGUUGCGGUUAAAAAGCUCGUAGUUGGAUUUCUGCUGAGGACGACCGGUCCGCCCUCUGGGUGAGUAUCUGGCUUGGCCUUGGCAUCUUCUUGGAGAACGUAGCUGCACUUGACUGUGUGGUGCGGUAUCCAGGAUUUCUACUUUGAGGAAAUUAGAGUGUUUCAAGCAGGCACACGCAUUGAAUACAUUAGCAUGGAAUAAUAAGAUAGGACCUUGGUUCUAUUUUGUUGGUUUCUAGAGCUGAGGUAAUGAUAAAUAGGGAUAGUUGGGGGCAUUCGUAUUUAACUGUCAGAGGUGAAAUUCUUGGAUCUGUUAAAGACGGACUACUGCGAAAGCAUUUGCCAAGGAUGUUUUCAUUG
rnacentral:rRNA from 1 species